rnacentral:lncRNA from 1 species
GUGAUGUGGAGUCCAGAUGUAGCUCAAAUAAUAAUGAAGUAUAUUAUCGGGCAACGAUGAACACCUUUUCGAGAGAAGUUGUCAGACAAACAUGGGAAACCCAUAUUCAUAAGACUCCAUCUCCCAAGUAUUAUGUCCCAGACAUGUAACGGUCCCUACCAAAAUUGCAUAUGCGGUAGGCACCUGACUAUGUCUGGUUUUUCAAACUAAGAAUAAAAACAGGCAUUCAGUCAUUAC